rfam:Thelohanellus kitauei scaffold04233-1, whole genome shotgun sequence.
GGGAAUUCAGGUGGCUCUCGGUCGAAAGUAAUGACGACAGACCAGAAGCGGGAAGCCGUUGAGUUUAUGUGUGAUGCUGGUUCAAUGACCUCAUUGAACCAGCAUUUC